CCCUUAGAUGUCCGGGGCCGCACGCGCGCUACACUGAAGGAAUCAGCGUGGCUUUCUCCCUGACCCGCCCGGGUUGGGAAACCCGUUGAAUCUCCUUCGUGAUAGGGAUUGGGGCUUGAAAUUGUUCCCCAUGAACGAGGAAUUCCCAGUAAGCGCGAGUCAUAAGCUCGCGUUGAUUACGUCCCUGCCCUUUGUACACACCGCCCGUCGCUACUACCGAUUGAACGGUUUAGUGAGGGCCUCGGAUUGGUCUCGGCCCGCUCUUUACCGGGCGGCGCCGUUGGUCGAGAAGACGUUCGAACUUGAUCGUUUAGAGGAAGUAAAAGUCGUAACA
rnacentral:rRNA from 1 species